GGCUCUCUUGCCUUUCAAGCCAAUAGCAAUGAAGGUUCUACAUUGUUCAUUCCUUUCUGGAAUACGGAUGACGAAAGCUGAACCUUUGCUGAAGAUAUUGCAGCCAAAGAUAGUUAUGGUAAUCACAAUCCAGUUAUCGUCCUCUCUAUGUAAUGCUAUAUUAAGUCUCUCUCUCUCUCUCUCCCCCCACGCACCACCACCCC
rnacentral:misc_RNA from 1 species